GACAGUGUAGCCAAGUGGUUACGGCGUCACGUUUAGGCCCUUUUGGACUACCACCGUGAUGGGUUUCCCGCGCGAGUUCGAAUCUCGUCACUGUCA